rnacentral:rRNA from 1 species
UGAUGCGACUAUACCAGCAAGUACUAAUGCAUCGGAUCUCGUUAAAACUCUGAAAUUAAAUGUGUUUGGAUAAAAGUAGUACUAGGAUAGGUGAUUUUCUAGAAAAUACUUGUGUUGCAUCUG